AUGAGCAUCUCUUUCAUCCCAGGCACUUGGGCCCCACAGUGUUCUGGCCCAGCUUCUCAGCAAGAUAGGCAGCCUUCAGCCGGUGGAAACUCACUUUUAUCUUGCUUUCAUGUUUGCUCCCCCCCCCCCUCCCCCUGGCCGCCGUUUCAAGGCGCCGCCAUCCACCACCACUUCCAGCGUCCUCACCACCUCCACCGAUGUCCUCACCACCACCACCUCCGACGUCUUCACCACCUGCUCCCCUCGGCCCUCGUGCCAUCGCCUGCCUUGCUGGACCUUCUUGCCCAGCACUGCAGAGUCCAGCUCCCCUGUUCCAUCUCUCCAGGAGCAGGCCCAGAUUCAAGUCCCCCUCUCCUCCCCUGGCCAGGGAGGGAGGUUGGACGACGGGUGAUGGUGCCUGGGAUGGUGGGCUGGCGAUGCUCCAAGGUGGUGUGGCAGAACUGGGGGUGGAGGUAUGACUUGGCGGCUGUCGGCAGCAAGCUGUGCCUCACGGAUGUUUGGCGUAGUCGGAGCAUGCGCCAAGCGCAGCAGAUGGAACCUAAUGAAAGAACUGAGCACUCACUCAAAGUAUUUUCAUAUAGGCAUUCAAAUUUCUGCAAUCUGAUCAGCUUUUGGUCUAUUGAGCUAUAUGUAACACCAAUUAGUAACUACAUCUUGCAGGCGGGCAUUUUUUUUUUACCUCUAAAAUUACAAAGUGCAUCUGAUAGCAUAGCAUGGAACCUAAUGGAAGAACUGAGCACUCAAGUAUUUUGGUAUUAG
rnacentral:rRNA from 1 species